GGGGCUGCCCUGGUUUCGACGUGGGUUCGGAAUCGGCGUGGUGCAUGUCGAGCUUGAUUGGCGCUCGUAAAUCUGCAUUCAAAAAACUAACUGCAAACG
rnacentral:tmRNA from 1 species